rnacentral:rRNA from 1 species
GACGAACGCUGGCGGCGUGCUUAACACAUGCAAGUCGAACGGAAAGGCCCUGCUUUUGUGGGGUGCUCGAGUGGCGAACGGGUGAGUAACACGUGAGUAACCUGCCCUUGACUUAGGGAUAACUUCAGGAAACUGGGGCUAAUACCGGAUAGGAGCUCCUGCUGCAUGGUGGGGGUUGGAAAGUUUCGGCGGUUGGGGAUGGACUCGCGGCUUAUCAGCUUGAUGGUGGGGUAGUGGCUUACCAAGGCUUUGACGGGUAGCCGGCCUGAGAGGGUGACCGGCCACAUUGGGACUGAGAUACGGCCCAGACUCCUACGGGAGGCAGCAGUGGGGAAUAUUGCACAAUGGGCGGAAGCCUGAUGCAGCAACGCCGCGUGCGGGAUGACGGCCUUCGGGUUGUAAACCGCUUUCGCCUGUGACGAAGCGUGAGUGACGGUAAUGGGUAAAGAAGCACCGGCUAACUACGUG